CAGUCGCCGCGGGAAUACGUAGGGUGCGAGCGUUAAUCGGAAUUACUGGGCGUAAAGCGUGCGCAGGCGGUUUUGUAAGACAGGCGUGAAAUCCCCGGGCUCAACCUGGGAAUGGCGCUUGUGACUGCAAAGCUAGAGUGCGGCAGAGGGGGAUGGAAUUCCGCGUGUAGCAGUGAAAUGCGUAGAUAUGCGGAGGAACACCGAUGGCAAAGGCAAUCCCCUGGGCCUGCACUGACGCUCAUGCACGAAAGCGUGGGGAGCAAACAGGAUUAGAUACCCGAGUAGUCCCUGUCUCUUAUAC
rnacentral:rRNA from 1 species